AUGGAUGUGCACUCGGACCCGCUGAAGCCCUGGAUAAUGGCAAGUCAUGCGGAUGGGAAUGUGUCCAUUUGGGACUAUCAGACAGAGGCAAAAGUGUCAGAGUUCAGAGUCUCAGACGUGGAGGGUACCGAUACGUGGCAUAAUACCCACUGGAUUUGUUCUGCAAAAUUCAUUGCGCCUAAGGAUUGGAUUGUGGCUGGUGGUGGCGAUGGGUACAUCUAUGUGGUUUCAUAUAAGAUGAGGGAGCUAAAUAUGACAACGCAACAGGUCAAGAAAUUCAAAGCCCACGGAGGUAUUCGUUUUUUCAUGGGGGAGAAAGACCGCGGAAAAUGGGUGGAAUCGCUGGCGGUUCACCCAACUCAGCCAUAUGUGCUGUCAGCGUCUAUGGACAACCUGAUCAAGCUUUGGAAUCAUGAUUCCAACUGGGAUUGCAUCUGGUCCUUCAGCGGACACGAUAGCUUCGUGAAACAUGUAAUGUUUAGCCCGGAUGGCAAUCAUUUCGCCAGUGCUUCUGAUGACUGCACAGUGAAGAUCUGGAACAUUCGUAAACCCAAGGCUAUUGCGACACUGGCCUGCGGUCAGGACGCACAACAGCAUGUUGCUUAUUUUUCCAGGGGUGAUAGUCAGUAUGUAAUUACUGGAUCUUUGAGAGGAUCUGCACGGGUCUGGAAUUUGCAGACAAAUAAAAAGACAAAAAUUCUCCCAGGAACCACUCCAGAAAAUAAAGAUCUCGAAGGACUCGAUUAUGAGGUUCACGGUUGUAACAUUGGUGUGAUCAAUUUGGACCAAGACAAUACUAAUCCAGUUCUGAUUACUGUUUCCAAAGACAUGUCUAUAUCUUUCCUCGACCAGACUAGCUACGCUCCCAGGUUUGAAGAGCUUAAUGAUCUUUCUCGUGGACCACCUCAAGAUUUUGCGUACAUUGAGAGCACACGAAGCCUUGUAAUCGCAUGUCCCAGAGGAAUUGCAAUUGUCGACAUGAGUGAACAGAUGGAUGAUGAUAUGAGUGACAAUACGAAUGAUGACACAAAUGAGGACACAGAUGUACGGCCCAAACGACGUCGAUUGGAACCUAAGUGGAUGGCUGAUUAUGUCAUGAUCAAGGAUUGA
rnacentral:rRNA from 1 species